rnacentral:rRNA from 1 species
CCUACGGGAGGCAGCAGUGGGGGAUAUUGCACAAUGGGGGGAACCCUGAUGCAGCGACGCCGCGUGGGUGAAGGAGCGUUUCGGCGCGUAAAGCCCUAUCGGCAGUGAAGAAGGAGGACGGUACCUGACUAAGAAGCCCCGGCUAACUACGUUCCAGCAGCCGCGGUACUACGUAGGGGGCAGGCGUUAUCCGGAUUUACUGGGUUGAAAGGGGGCGCAGACGGCAGCGCAAGCCAGUAGUGAAAGCCCGGGGCCCAACCCCGGGACUGCUCUUGGAACUGCGCGGCUGGAGUGCAGGAGGGGCAGGAGGAAUUCCUGGUGUAGCGGUGAAAUGCGUAGAUAUCAGGAGGAACACCGGUGGCGAAGGCGGCCGGCUGGACUGCGACUGACGUUGAGGCCCGAAAGCGUGGGGAGCAAACAGGAUUAGAUACCCCAGUAGUC